GGGACAUGGAAGCAAAUUGGUUUUGUAUCUCAAUAGGGGGCUUGGAUCUAGGGAGGAAGGGCCUGUCAGAAAUGAGAAUAAAAGGCUGUUAGGAAAAUUACCCCUGGAAUUGUGAAUAUUAUCUCUUUGAAGUAUGCUUAAUGGAUUUGGGCUAAGAAUUUUCAAAGAGGUUAAGGACUUAGCUCCCAUUGAAUGUCAGUGGCUUUCGGACACUUUACUGCCAUAGUCUGCUUUGAAAACCCCAGCUUAGAAUAUUAAUUUUAAUGUACCCUUUUCUCUACAGUAGGAGGGAGUGGAUCCAUGACAGAGAAAAGAACAGAGAAACUACAAAAGAAAAAAUGCAGGACUUGAUACAGAGCCAAAUCCACUGGAUGUCAAUAUGAUUAAAGACUCAACCUUGAAGCUGCAGUUACUCUUUCUCUUACAACUCAGUGGGUCCUGCCUGCAAUUAGCUCACCCAAAUGUUGACCUAUAAAUAACUGCCAGAAGGAGCUUUCUGACAAAGGAUCUCAAAGCACUGGCCAGCAGGUGAGUGAAGCCUGGUUUAGACUGUCCUUAGGCACUGCUGACAGGUGACAGACUGCAGAAGGAAAAGGAUUAUGCACUGAGAUAUGGAGGCUCCUAAAGGCUUGAGCUAGAGUUACACCCAUUAAUCAGGUUAGUUAUACAAUGUUAUCAGCUCUUAAAAUACGGAGCUCUGACUUCAGAUAAAAACUGUAAAAUUAACUGAGUGAGUGACCUGGAAGUGCAGUGGCUUGUGACUUGUCUCCCACUGCUCUCCCCUUCUUCCAUGAAGUACAUGGUCCAGGUGUGCUGCUUAUUGCUUUCCACUAAUGGCAAUUGCUGGCACCCAGCAUUGCCCUGCACACUGUGGGGUUCCUUUCCCAUUCUUCUUAAUUAAUUUCCUUUUCUACCUAAUUAACAUCAUUUUCUUCUGAAAGUCUAGGGAAAAUGCCUUGUGCUAAAUUGCAUAUUUUCUUAGAUUUCACCCAAAGUUUAUCAGCAUACCAAACGUAGU
rnacentral:lncRNA from 1 species